UGUCCCUGGCUCCCGUGUUGCCUGCAUCUGAUGUUCCCUAACUGAAACCUGCCUCAUGUUCCUCCCUGGGCCGAUGGGCAGUUUCAGAGGACAGAGCUGUCUGCUCUGCGG
rfam:Equus caballus chromosome 24, whole genome shotgun sequence.